rnacentral:lncRNA from 1 species
CACCAGUGCCCCACCUCCCAAGCCAUGCCCCGCACGUCCACAGUGACCACCGGUCCAUUCUCACUAGGGUGGACUGAGGAGGCUCCUUAUAGCACUCGUGGUCCAGUCAUUUCACCUCCCAACACUCCCGCCUUAACACAGGAUGUUGGGAGUGGGGGAUACCUCAUACCCAAAUUAUACCACCCUCCUCACAGGCUCCUGCAGCAAAUCCCAUGCAAAAUUAUUUCUUUUGACAUUUGGUUUGGGAUAUCCUUAUUUCUCCCCCAAAAUUAGUCUGCUUCCUGCUUUCUCCUAACCAUGAGAACAAGACAGAGCACCAUUUCCCUUUUCACCCAAGUGGCCAGGAAGCUCAGAAUGAAAUCUGAACCCCAUUACUGCCACCAUGUCUGUACCUGCAUUCUGGCUGUAAUCUUCCCUCCUUCCCUGGGCUUUAAUUUCGAUGCACAGUUUACUGUAUGUCAUUUGUGAGUUGCUUCAAAGUUGACCGAACUUUUUCUUUCUUACCCCUGGGCUUUCCUUCCAAGACUUCUUUAACUGGAAAGCUACCCUGUGUCUUAUUUGAUGGAACCGUUGCCUGAGUUUAGUGGGGGUGACAGGUGGAGGCUUGUCACCGGCGUCAGCUCCCAGCCUAGGCUGUGCUCCCUCUCUGCAGGGCAGUCCCAGGGGCUCACAGACUCUCUCUGGGCUUCAGUUUCUCUCUAUGUAAAAUGAUGGGCUUUUGACAGGCUCCGCCCACAAUCCAUGCCUGAAUUCUGAGAGUCUGUUAGCCCUGUUGGUAUUUGGGGUCAAUACCGGGGACACCGACUCAAGGAUCCUAAGAACCAAGUCCAAGAGAUGAAAAAGGGGAGACUCCUCAGGGAUAGAAGUGCCACCGUCUGCCCCUUCCCAUGACACUGUUAGGCUGGAGACUUGGAAGGAGGGGCAGAGAGAGGAGCCGGCUGAGGCUUGACAGCUCUAUCAGUCAGGAAGCCCAGGGAGGCCUCUGCGGCGGCCAAGGUUGCUGACGGCCUCCAUCUGCUCGGAGCCUCUUGCCAGGUAGCCACCAAGCUGGGACUGGCUCCGUGGCCCCUCUGUCCCCCCACCUUUCCCUGAGCGUCCAUGAUGGUGCAGCUGGGAUGGAGGAGGGAUGGGAGUCAGGAGGUACCUGCGGCUCCCUUCCCAAAUGGGAGGCCUGGCCCACGUUGCCCUGGAGACCCAUCCUGGGGGAGGCUGGCCUGGAGGCCGGUGCCCAUAACUUCAGAAGCACUCCUGGGUGUGCUCUGACUUCCUGAGGGUAUAUGCCGGCGAAUCUCUGAAGAGAAAAAAAAAAGAUCUCCUUCAAGACAUAGUGGUAACUGGGCGCAGGGGAGCACACCUGUCAUCCCAGCGGCUCAGGAGGCUGAGGCAGGAGGAUGGCAAGUUCAAAGCCAGCCUCAGCAACGUGAGGCACUAAGCAACUCAGUGAGACCCUGUCUCUAAAUAAAAUACAAAAUAGGGCUGGGGAUGUGGCUCCGUGGUUGAGUGCCCCUGAGUUCAAUCCCCAAUCCCCGCCCACCCCCCAAAAAAGAGGAAGUGGUAGUAACAGCAGGAAAUGACCAGUCUUCUGAUUUCACAGAACUGCCCCAUCCUUCCAUUAUUCUCUUUGUUUCUGGUGCUGCUGGGGAUUGAACUCUGGGCCUCCCACGUGCUGAGCAAGUACUCCACCAGAGUCAAGCCCCUGGCCCGCCGUGGCCCUCUGUUUGCUACUUUAGUUGGAUCCUAGAGAGUCGGGCUGGGAGAGGCCAGAACAGGGUGGUCCUGCAGGGGCUAUCCUUUGCCUACAAGAUGGUUCUUAAGAACAGAUUUGCUCCCACCUCUCAUCCCUGUUUAAUGGAGAGGUGGGAGGGAAAGGGAGAGAGAAGGGAAAUUGCAUGGAAAUGGAAGGAGACCCUCC